GACGGAAGGUGCAAGCGUUGCUCGGAAUCACUGGGCGUAAAGGGUGCGUAGGCGGCCGUGUAAGUCUGGCGUGAAAGCCCCGGGCUCAGCCCGGGAAGUGCGCUCGAAACUGCGCGGCUCGAGUGCCGGAGGGGAGAGUGGAAUUCCUGGUGUAGCGGUGAAAUGCGUAGAUAUCGUAAGGAAGACCAGUGGCGAAGGCGAGUUUCUGGACAGUAACUGACGCUGAGGCACGAAGGCCAGGGGAGCAAACGGG
rnacentral:rRNA from 1 species